GGAAAGGCGCGCGAUACAGGGUGACAGCCCCGUACACAAAAAUGCACAUGCUGUGAGCUCGAUGAGUAGGGCGGGACACGUGGUAUCCUGUCUGAAUAUGGGGGGACCAUCCUCCAAGGCUAAAUACUCCUGACUGACCGAUAGUGAACCAGUACCGUGAGGGAAAGGCGAAAAGAACCCCGGCGAGGGGAGUGAAAAAGAACCUGAAACCGUGUACGUACAAGCAGUGGGAGCACGCUUAGGCGUGUGACUGCGUACCUUUUGUAUAAUGGGUCAGCGACUUAUAUUCUGUAGCAAGGUUAACCGAAUAGGGGAGCCGAAGGGAAACCGAGUCUUAACUGGGCGUUAAGUUGCAGGGUAUAGACCCGAAACCCGGUGAUCUAGCCAUGGGCAGGUUGAAGGUUGGGUAACACUAACUGGAGGACCGAACCGACUAAUGUUGAAAAAUUAGCGGAUGACUUGUGGCUGGGGGUGAAAGGCCAAUCAAACCGGGAGAUAGCUGGUUCUCCCCGAAAGCUAUUUAGGUAGCGCCUCGUGAAUUCAUCUCCGGGGGUAGAGCACUGUUUCGGCAAGGGGGUCAUCCCGACUUACCAACCCGAUGCAA
rnacentral:rRNA from 1 species